UUUUCUUGAAGGUGGGAUGUCCUUGAAUGUUGAUGUUGGGAGAUUCCACCAGUGAGGCCUUUGGAAUUACGAACAAUUUCUGUAUAAGCCAAUGACCAGAUCCCAGCUAAAUCAGCCUCAUGGAGACCUUUCUGCACCCAAACAACCCACGAAACCAAAUGAAUUCUCUUGGUCACAGUCUCCUGAGUCUUUCAAACUGAAUUCAGUGUCUUACCCUCAGAUGUUCAGAGAUUUCUAAGGGUUGGCGGUGUUGCUUAGCAUUUACCCCGGAUCUGCAAGGAUCUACAUGUCAAGUAUUCCUGUGUGAUAUCUUCAUCUUAGUGCAACACAGCCUUCCCGCUUACCAUCUUUGCCUCGGUCUCUGUGCACUCUCUAAACCUCACUCCUAACCAUUUUAUAUUUUACCAAUAAAAUGUCAUUUUGCCCAGUUUAA